GGACAGUAUGCAUUUAAUGGAAAUCAAACACUUUUGCUUUUAGAGAGUUUCAAAUAUUACUUGGCAAGACAAAAAGCAAGCAAAUCUCCAUCAUCUUCCUUAGUUUUAAUUUUCUCUGCAGCUUCUCCUGUCUCCAUGUUAUUCAGAAAACUAUCAUUGGUCCCAAUUCCAUGGAGAGACCACCACGCCCAUAAAGCAAACAACUUCUCCAAAACCAAAGAAACACAGUAUUAUCACACUCACGCUACCUUCAGAUACGUUCUCCUAAUCUUCCUUUCUUCCUGGUUUCUUACUGCUUGCUUUUUCUUUUCUUCUACUUACAGUCGCAACGAUCACCUGCAUUUCCCCAAUACAGCAACGAAAGAAUUGUUGCCAAUUACCUGUCCAAGUAAUCUCUCAAUCUUUGUAUAUCAACUGCCACCGGAGUUCAACUUGGGUCUCCUCCGCGACUGCACCCACCUCAACGUUUACACUAACAUGUGUCCCCAUGUCGCCAACCACGGCCUUGGUCAACCGAUGUCCUCUGCCGGCUCCUGGUUCGCCACCCACCAGUUUCUUGCCGAGAUGAUAUUCCACGCCCGUGUUGAGAACCACCCAUGUCGCACUUGGGAUCCCGCCCUAGCCAAUCUCUUCUACGUCCCAUUUUAUGGUGGUCUUCAUGCGUCCAGCAAGUUCCGCGAAGCCAAUCACACGGCACGCGAUGAAUUAGCCGUUCGAUUAGUGGAGUACCUGCAAACGCGGCCAUGGUGGCAGAAGCAUCAAGGGAAGGACCAUUUUUUAGCCCUGGGGAGAACUGCAUGGGAUUUCAUGAGGACCACCAAUGGUGAGCCUGACUUCGGAGCCAACUGCCUCCUUAAUCUCCCACCUGUCAAAAACAUGUCGGUGUUGACCGUAGAGAGGCAUCCAUGGCAAGGACUCAAUCAAUACGGUUUGCCGUAUCCUUCCUAUUUCCACCCAUCCAAUGUCGUUCAGAUGCGUACGUGGCAGCAGAAAAUGAUUCGAUCAGAGAGGACCCACCUUUUCUCCUUCAUUGGACGACCACGGAAGGGGGUGCAGAAAGCCGCCGUGCGAGACGAGUUAAUAAGGCAAUGUAACGAGUCAACUCGGUGCAACCUCCUGAUAUGUGGCAGCGGUGGCGGUAAAUGCCAUGAACCUUUCGAGGUGCUUAAAGUGUUAAGCCAGUCUCAUUUUUGCUUACAAGCGCCAGGAGACUCGUUCACGAGACGAUCAACGUUCGACUCUGUGCUGGCGGGUUGCAUACCGGUGUUUUUCUCUCCACACACGGCGUACACCCAGUACGGAUGGUAUUUACCGGUGAAUGGUAGUGCGUAUUCGGUUUAUAUAGAUUUAGAUGGGAGUGAGAUGGAGAAAGGAAAAGGGAAGAAGAGUAUAGAGGAAGAGCUAUCGAAGAUAUCAAGCGAUAGAGUGGGGAGAAUGCGUAGAAAAAUAAUAGAGAUGAUGCCAAGAAUAACGUAUGCCCAUCCGAAUUCUAGCGAUGUUGGAUUUGCAGACGCUGUUGAUGUUGCGCUUGAAGCACUCCUCAAGAAUGCUCGCUCCAAAUUAGGACUUGUAUGAACAUUUGUGAUGAAAAUACUGCGAAAUAACGUAUUGUAUUUAGGUGGUUGGGAUGUUAAUCAUUUACUCUGCAAGGUUGAUUAAUUUUUUGUAAUAUAAUUGACCGAUUGAAACUCAAAUUUUAUUAAUAAAAAAU
rnacentral:misc_RNA from 1 species